AAUAGAUACCCAGGUAGUCCACGCCGUAAACGAUGAGUGCUAAGUGUUAGGGGGUUUCCGCCCCUUAGUGCUGCAGCUAACGCAUUAAGCACUCCGCCUGGGGAGUACGGCCGCAAGGCUGAAACUCAAAGGAAUUGACGGGGGCCCGCACAAGCGGUGGAGCAUGUGGUUUAAUUCGAAGCAACGCGAAGAACCUUACCAGGUCUUGACAUCCUCUGACAACCCUAGAGAUAGGGCGUUCCCCUUCGGGGGACAGAGUGACAGGUGGUGCAUGGUUGUCGUCAGCUCGUGUCGUGAGAUGUUGGGUUAAGUCCCGCAACGAGCGCAACCCUUGAUCUUAGUUGCCAGCAUUUAGUUGGGCACUCUAAGGUGACUGCCGGUGACAAACCGGAGGAAGGUGGGGAUGACGUCAAAUCAUCAUGCCCCUUAUGACCUGGGCUACACACGUGCUACAAUGGAUGGUACAAAGGGCUGCCAAACCGCGAGGUUGAGCGAAUCCCAUAAAACCAUUCUCAGUUCGGAUUGCAGGCUGCUAACCG
rnacentral:rRNA from 1 species